rnacentral:rRNA from 1 species
CUCGCCUAUAUGAAGUCGGAAUUGCUAGUAAUCGCAGAUCAGCAUGCUGCGGUGAAUACGUUCCCGGGCCUUGUACACACCGCCCGUCACACCAUGAGAGUCGAUAACACCCGAAGCCUGUAGUCUAACCAUAAGGGGGACGCAGUCGAAGGUGGGAUUGAUAAUUAGGGUGAAGUCGUAACAAGGUAAC